UGCCAGACUCCUACGGGAGGCAGCAGUGGGGAAUAUUGCACAAUGGGGGAAACCCUGAUGCAGCAACGCCGCGUGAGUGAAGAAGUAUUUCGGUAUGUAAAGCUCUAUCAGCAGGGAAGAAAAUGACGGUACCUGAGUAAGAAGCCCCGGCUAACUACGUGCCAGCAGCCGCGGUAAUACGUAGGGGGCAAGCGUUAUCCGGAUUUACUGGGUGUAAAGGGAGCGUAGACGGCGAUACAAGUCUGAAGUGAAAGCCCGGGGCUCAACCCCGGGACUGCUUUGGAAACUGUGUUGCUGGAGUGCUGGAGAGGCAAGCGGAAUUCCUAGUGUAGCGGUGAAAUGCGUAGAUAUUAGGAAGAACACCAGUGGCGAAGGCGGCUUACUGGACUGUAACUGACGUUGAGGCUCGAAAGCGUGGGGAGCAAACAGGAUUAGAUACCCUCGUAC
rnacentral:rRNA from 1 species